CAUGUGGGUUCUAUAGCUAAAAGACCUAGACUCAAAUGUGGUCCCUGACUGAUAGCAUAGAGGUCAGCAGGCCAUAAAGUGCAUGGUGACAUCUCUCCUAAGUAAGAGUAAAACGUUAGGGAGGGAAGAGACUUGAAUAAUCAUUAGAAUUUGGGUGAGGUCUGUCCCUUCAAACAGCAAAGGUCACCAGGUUGUUAGCAACCUCCAACUCUCAGCUUUCUGGAUGGAAUGCAGGUAUUUGAUUUUAUCUCCUCCAUUGAGAAGACACCACGUCAUGAUUAACAUUCCUGGUUCUUUUAGCACUUCUCUGUGAGUACAAGGCCCUCCUGCCCUCUACACAGUUCCUUCUGUUCAACCAUAUUUCUACUGCACUGCUAUUCUAUACCGAGAGUCUAAGCGUAACAGCUGGGGCCCCUGUGGUGGGUCUUUAAGACUAGCAUGAUACCAUGAAUUGACAUUCCCAGAAAUAAUACCUGUUUUUAAACAUUCUACAAGGUUUUCUAACUGAUGACAGAGUUGGAAUGUCACAAUGUGUCAUAUGUAUUUGUACAGGACAUAGAGGCAGAAGAAUCUCUAUGAGUUCUAAGCCAGCUCAGUUGAUGUGGUGAGUUCUAGGCCAUCCAAGGCUACAUAUCAGCACUGUCAAGACAGCCAGCCAGCCAGCCAGCCAGCCAGCCAGCCAGCCAGCCAAGAAAUUCCAAACAAAACAGCCCCAAGCAAAAACCAAAACAAAACUAUAAGCAUUUGGAAUUUGGUAUUUAAGACUGCCCUUUGUUAUAGAUGCUCCAGCCAUGCUCCUGAUGGGAGAAGGAUAAUUACGGUCUUGAAAGCUUCAGUUUUUCCAAGAUCCAAACUACUUAGAGAACAGUUUCUGUUUUCAACCUCCAUCCAUUCUACUCUUGUUGAAGCCUCUGACGGGGACAUUUGGCACCUACAUUGCUGAACUGGAGGAAAGUGACCUGUCACAACAGCAUCCCUGUACAGACACCAGGUGCCCAGUUAAGUUGCCUAGAGACACCAGCAAACCCAAAGGUAAUGGUUCAUUAUGUCUCGGAAACCAUUUGCCAAAUUGGUUGUGGGUAAGAAGUAAAGAUUUUGAGCUCAGCGAGGACAUCAAACUGUUCUUUGUGGACCAGAAAAACACCAGGCAGAAUCGGGGUAUUUCAUAGCCUCCAGGACAAUGUUUGAUCCCUCAGACACUGUUGGCUCUUUUCCAGCUUCCUCUGGAGAGUAAACAGGGGCAGAAUAGGCUAUGGAGUCCAAAAGGCGGCUUCGAUUGCGCCAGCUCCCUGUUUGCGUAAGUAUCCAUCCAAGCAUGGACUGGAAGCCCUGGAGACCCGCUGGUGGAUCACACCACAGAAACAACCUUCAAAUUCUAACUGAUGCCCGAUGGACAUCAGCUAUCAACAAAUGUCAAAUGAAUCCAGACGACUGCCCUCGAUCUUUAGGUUCGACAGAACACUGACUGGCAGGGUCUGCAGGAUGCACAGUCUACACACAGGCCUCGUUAACAUCAACCACGGAAGAGGGAAGAUGGGGCAACAACUUCUAACUAAAGCUGUGCCUCUAUCUGUAGUUUCACUCAGGAUUAAAUAGAAUGAAGUUUGUCAGCUGAGUUAAAAUGACUGAACAAGUAUCUUAACAUUUUCAUGGAAAAAAAUCCCAAAAGGACACAAUCUACAAGAAAGAAAAACUAUCAGAAAUAGGUGGGUUGGAGAGAUGGUUAAGAAUUUUGACUGCUCUAUCAGAGGAACCCAGUUUGAUUCCCAACACCCACAGUCAUAAAAUAAAAAUAAAAUAAAUUCCCAAUCAUAUAAAAAA